AUUGAACGCUGGCGGCAUGCUUUACACAUGCAAGUCGAACGGUAACAGGCCGCAAGGUGCUGACGAGUGGCGGACGGGUGAGUAAUGCAUCGGAACGUGCCCAGUCGUGGGGGAUAACGCAGCGAAAGCUGCGCUAAUACCGCAUACGAUCUAUGGAUGAAAGCGGGGGACCGUAAGGCCUCGCGCGAUUGGAGCGGCCGAUGUCAGAUUAGGUAGUUGGUGGGGUAAAGGCUCACCAAGCCAACGAUCUGUAGCUGGUCUGAGAGGACGACCAGCCACACUGGGACUGAGGCACGGCCCAGACUCCUACGGGAGGCAGCAGUGGGGAAUUUUGGACAAUGGGCGCAAGCCUGAUCCAGCAAUGCCGCGUGCAGGAAGAAGGCCUUCGGGUUGUAAACUGCUUUUGUACGGAACGAAACGGUCCUGGUUAAUACCUGGGGCUAAUGACGGUACCGUAAGAAUAAGCACCGGCUAACCACGUGCCAGCAGCCGCCGUAA
rnacentral:rRNA from 1 species